GUCCACGCCUUAAACGAUGGAUGUUCGGUGUCGGUCCGCAAGGAUCGGUGCCUGAGCUAACGCGUUAAACAUCCCACCUGGGGAGUACGAUCGCAAGGUUGAAACUCAAAGGAAUUGACGGGGCCGCACAAGCAGUGGAGCAUGUGGUUCAAUUCGAUGCAACGCGAAGAACCUUACCUGGGUUUGAAAGGCAGUGACCGUCGAUGAAAGUCGAUCUGGUAGCAAUACCCACUUGUACAGGUGCUGCAUGGCUGUCGU
rnacentral:rRNA from 1 species